rnacentral:lncRNA from 10 species
CUAAAACUUAAAAGUAUAAUAAUAAUAAAAAAUAUAUAGAGAGAGAAAUGAAAAAAAAAAAAAAAAGAGUUCUGUACACAGGCGGAUGGCUCCUCAUCUAGGCUGGUAAUUUCACAGGGGCUGUGACGCAAACCUAUUUACCCAAACCUUCCAUUAUAUUCAGCAGUGCCCUGAAAUGAUCAAUUUUGAAAGUGAACUAAUGAGAUACUCAAACUUAUUUUAUUACUCUAAAGUACAGAAUACAAACAACAGAAAUCAUUAGAUAUUGAACAGCAUUUUUAUGUAAAUAAAAUUAAAAUAUCUCAGUCGUCUGUACAGACAACUUCAUUUGUAACAGAGACUUGUUUUAUCUUUAGUGUAUUCUACUCUAUUUAUCUGAUACGACUAUUUUGCUUUUAAAUGUUUUCCUUAAAAUUUUUAUAACUAAUACUUCACUAAUUACUUUACCAAAUACAUAGAUUAAAAUAUCCCUAAAUGUCAAUUUUAGCAGGACUACCUUUUUCCUUUCAAAAUGUAGUCAAAUAUACCUUUAACAGUAUUCAUAUGCACAAAAUUUAAGCCAAAUAUUCAAGCUUACAGGCAAAGAUCUUGAGCACACUUACUGCUGUGCCAAAGGAAUAAUCUUGGCCCCAUCCCUACUUAUAAAAAAUAUAUAAUAAAUCAUGAUCUUUGAUUAAAGCAAAUGACUCUUAACAGAAUGUGAGCUAUUGCCAAAAAAAUGAUUCUAACAGUUAUGGUUUUACACUCACAGCCUAGGUUUCUAGUAGUAUGUUGUCAAAAAAAGCAAAUGAGGUGAUGAUUGGCAGUUAAUGGUCAUUGACAAGAUUUUAAGGGUAGUUAAAAAAGUUUCUCUGAAGUAUCAAUAUCAAAUGUGCUAAAAGGAGAAAAGUAGAUGCAGCACUGAUGUGUCAAAAAUGACUUUGAAAAUGUAAAUUCCUGUGUCUGUAAUAGGUAUCCUUUAAUAGCUGAAAGUAACAAAUGAAAAGCCAAACAUUCACUAUUAACAUACAUGGGGCCUGACACAGUGGCUUAUGCCCGUAAUCCCAGCACUACAGGAGGCCAAGGUGGGAAAAUUAUUUGAGCCCAGGAGUUCAAGACCAACAUAGGCAACAUGGAAAGACUGUGUCUCUAUAAAAAAUAAAAAAAUUAGCCAGGUGUGGUGGUGUCUGUAGUCCCAGGUACUCGGGAGGCCGAGGUGGGAGGAUCGCUUGAGCCUGGGAGACUGAGGCUGCAGUAAGCUGAGAUCAUGCCACUGCACUCCAGCCUGGGGCAAUAGAGUGAGACCCUGUCUCAAAUAUGUAACACACACAUACAUACAUAAAUAUAUACACACAUACAUGGUAGCCAAAUGGAAAUUUUACUGACUCUUUGAUUAGUAUCAUUACACUUCACAUAUGAGUUUUAGUCUUCAGUUAAUUCCUGGGAAAUGCCAAAAAUAAAAAUACUGCCACAGAGAAAUUAGUUUUUCUCUGCUACAUAUUGGCUCAAAAGUAAGCACCUGAAUAUUAAUUGUCUACAUUUUGUAUUUUUAAGAUCUUAUUUCAAAACAAUUUACAUUGAGAGUAUUAUUUAUGCUCUUAAACAGGAUCAGGGAUAUCUUUAUUUCUAGACUCUGGGAAGAUAAUUUACCUGAGCAAAAUGCAAAGAUAAAUAAUUAUACAAAAAUUUAAGUCAGUUGUCAAAGCUAACAAUGCAUCACCUGGCUUCAAAAUUUAACAAACAAAGAGUCUACAUAAAUAUCUUUCUUGUCUACACAUCUUUCUUGUUAUGGUAAACAUUUUGUUUUUUCUAACAAAACACUGCUCUUCAUUUUAAAAUCUAAAUGGCAAAAUGAGAAUGAUAACAGCGAAUUAACAGGUUUGAAUGUGGUUUAUAAAAUUAGGAAUGGGCAAACAUGGAUUAACUGACUCGAAAAUACUCUGGAAUAGGGGUCACAAAUUUGGUCCACAAGCCAAAUCCAGCCAGCUCAUAAGAACAGUUUCACAUUUUCUAAUGGCUGAAAAAAUCUAAUGGCUAACACAGUAGUAUUUUGUAACACAUCAAAAUUAUGUAAAAUUCAACUUUCAGUGCUCAUGAAAUUUUAUUGGAACAUGGCCACACUCAUUCGUUUAGGUACUGUCUAUGAUUGCUUUCACAUUAGAAUGGCAGAGUUGAACAAAUGCAAAGGAGACUUAUGUGGUGCUGUCAUCAUUUUGCACUGCUACUUGGCACACUAAAAACUGCAGUAAUGCAGUUACCAGCAUUUUGAGUGCCACAUAUGUUGUCAUACCACAAUAUUUUUAAAUUUUUUAUUACUAGUGCUUACCCAUAACAUCAAAACAAGAGAAAAAAAGAAAAGUAGACUUGAAGUGACAUUUUUAAGGCACAUUAGUAUAUGAAUUUUUAAAAAUCAGAUUAGAUGUCAGAGUAUGAUGUUUAAUAUGCAAUGUCAUUAUAGCUGUUCUUAAAGAAUACUAUAGGGAGGUCAGAUGCAGUGGUUCAUGCCUGUAAUCCAAGCAUUUUGGGAGGCUGAAGUGGGUGGAUCACUUGAGGUCAGGAGUUCAAGACCAGCCUGGACAACAUGGUAAAACCCCAUUUCUACUAAAAACAUAAAAAUUAGUUAGGUGUGGUGGCAUGUGCCUGUAAUCUCAGCUACUUGGGAGGCUGAGGCAGGAGACUCGCUUGAACCUGCAGGGUGGAGGUUGCAGUGAACUGAGAUUGUGCCACUGCACUCCAGCCUGGGCAAAAGAAUGAGACUCAGUCUCAAAAAAAAAAAAAAACAAACUCAAAAAUGAAAAUAAAGUUGCAGCCAAAGUGACUCAGAUAAUUGAGAACACUGGGAACAACAUCAACAGUCAAUAAAAAACAAGGCAAAUGACCCUGAGUGGUUUUCCUUGGCUCUUGAUGAGUCAACAGAUGUUACUGACACUGCCUAGUUAUUGCUUAUUUGAUAAGUCAAUGCCAACGUUGAAGUGACUGAAAUUAGUCUCUAUGAAUUAUCUGUGUGGCACAAUUACAAGCAUGAAUAUUUUAUAAGAAGAAAACACAAAUUUCAUGCAACCUGAAGUAGAAUCUGCUAAGAUGUGUUACAACUGGUGGUGUUAAAAAUGUGUGAAGCAAAAUGAUUACGUUUGUCAAAUUUAUAAAGCCUGUGAAAAGGUAAGAAGGUAUUUAAAAUCUAUGGUUAUUUACUGUAUUAUUCAUCAGCAGGUACUUUGUGGGAUAUAUUUGAUUCAAUUUUGUAUUACUGAACUACUGGUAGCAAUGGUGAACUUCAUUUGCUCUCAUAGUUUCUGAUAGAUUAAACAUCAAUGGUUCAGUUAUCUUUUGUCAGAUACAGAAGAUGAAUAUGCUGAUUUGCCCAACCACAUUGGCAUAAUAGUGUUAGUUCUAUUGUGAGCUUUUGCGUUCAGGGCUGAUAUUGACAUUUUUCUGAAAAAGAAGACAUGUCCUCAAUCACUAUUAUGGAACACUGAAUGGCUUUGGAAUUUAGCUUUUGCUCAAGACUUAAUAAAAUUUUGAAAUGAAUUCAAGCCAAAAUUACAAGGCAAAACGUGUUUACAAGCAAAACAUAAGUCAUUUUGAUGACAACAUUGUUUGAAUUACAAGUAACAACAAGCUGCUUUACACAUUUCCUGUGCUAUCAAAAGGUAAGACAAAGAAGCGAGAUCUCCACUCUCACACAAAUUUGUAGCUCACACCAUAGUGCCUGCAGUAUUUUUUGGAGUUUGCAAAUGUAAAGGAAAUUUCCAUUUUUCAAAAUCAAUUUAACAGUGCAAUUGAGGAGCUUCUGCCUAGUCUUCAAUUGGAAGUGAUUAAGCUGCAAUGUAAUAACAUGCUAAAAGGAAAAUAUCCAGAGAAGAAGUAACCUUUCAAGUGAUGAAUAUGCUCAACAAAAAUCAUAUUCUCAUGGAUUAAUGUAAGUAUUUGACAAUACCUAUCUGCAAGGAAUUUUCAGAAGUAAAAUACAUAAAAUCUUAUUACAGAUCAGCAUUAACAAAUGAGUACUUACAAUCAACUUUAAUGACACGAAACAUUAACUUUGAUCCUCCCUGUAAAUAUUUAAUUCUUUUCAUUAGUAAACCCGUAUUACAAAAAAAAUUGUUCUAAAUUAUUGUUUUGAAUUUUGUCAAUAAAAUUUUCGUGCAAAUUUUAUUUCUCUCUAGUUAUUUAAGUAUCUACAUAACAAUCUCAGUUUUACCUCUUAGCCCACAAAGCCUAAAAUAUUUACUAUCUGGCCCUUUAUAGAAAAAGUUUCCUGACCUCUGCCCUAGAGCCAGAAGCUACCCUGAACACCUAAAAGCACAGGUUUAAUGCAAUGCUUCAGAAGCCAGAUGGCCUGGGUUUAUAUGUUGGCUCUGCCACUAGCAGCUGUAUGAUCAUAAAUAAAUUCUUCAAUCUUUCUUUGCCUCAGUUUCCUCAUCUGUAAAUGGGGGUAAGUAAUGGCAUUUAUCUUACAGGGUUGUUGUGAGAAUUGAAUUAGUCAAUGCAAAGCACAAGAAACAGUGCCAGGCACAAAGGAAGCAUUCUCCUCAUGUGACUACUGAACACUUGACAUACAUCGUUUUGUUAAAAAAAUGAAUUAAUUCUGCUACUCAGAAAGUAGACAGAAAAUAUUUUGUGGCAUGAAAAGGCACAGCUGUUUUGAACACAAAACUAAUAUUAACUGUAGUAUAACAAAAUUCAUUGUCCUGUUAAGUGCAAAAUCGUUAUAUUCCAGCAUCCACACACCCUAGCAAGAUAUAUAUCUCUCUCUAUAUAAUAUA